GAUGAACGCUGACAGAAUGCUUAACACAUGCAAGUCUACUUGAGUUUGGGUUUUUUAACUUAGAUUUGGGUGGCGGACGGGUGAGUAACGCGUAAAGAACUUGCCUCACAGUUAGGGACAACAUUUGGAAACGAAUGCUAAUACCUGAUAUUAUGAAUAUAUGGCAUCAUAUAAUUAUGAAAGCUAUAAGCGCUGUGAGAGAGCUUUGCGUCCCAUUAGCUAGUUGGAGAGGUAACGGCUCACCAAGGCGAUGAUGGGUAGCCGGCCUGAGAGGGUGAACGGCCACAAGGGGACUGAGACACGGCCCUUACUCCUACGGGAGGCAGCAGUGGGGAAUAUUGGACAAUGGACCAAGAGUCUGAUCCAGCAAUUCUGUGUGCACGAUGACGUUUUUCGGAAUGUAAAGUGCUUUCAGUUGGGAAGAAAAAAAUGACGGUACCAACAGAAGAAGUGACGGCUAAAUACGUG
rnacentral:rRNA from 1 species